AACGCACCUUGCACCCUUUGGUAUUCCGAAGGGUACGCCCGUUUGAGAGUCAUUGUAAUCUCACCCCGGAAAUUUAUUUUUCGGGCGUGGACUUGGACGUUGCCGUGUCACGGCUCGUCUCGAACGUCUCAGUGUGACCGCUCGUAGGCGUCUACAGUGUGAUAGGUAUCUUCACUGUGUAGUCUCUUCGGAGGCGCGCCCUCGGACUCUGUCCACGCUGCCAACCGUCCUCGGACAAUACUCUGACGAUUUGACCUCAAAUCGGGUGGGACUACCCGCUGAACUUAA
rnacentral:misc_RNA from 1 species